rnacentral:ncRNA from 1 species
AUAAAGUUUUAUUCUUGCUUAUUAUGUUUAGUUUUUAAAUUAUUUUAUAUGUAAGUUUUUGCGUGAUUAGUUAUUAUUUUCUAUAUGAUUUUAAUUGUUGAUUAUUUUAUUAUUUAUUAAUGAAAUUUAGAAUUGGUAAUUUUGAUUUAUUAUUGGUAAAAUUUGUGCCAGCAUCCGCGGUUAUACAUGGAAUAUAAAUGAACAUUUUUGGUUAAAGUAGUUAUAUUUUUAUAUUUUGGAAUUAUUUUAUAAUUAUUUUUAAGUGAAAUUUUAAUAUUUGAUAUAGUUUAAUUUAUUGAGGCUACUAAAUCUUAAAUUUUAGACUAGGAUUAGAUACCCUAUUAUUUUAGAUGUAAAUUAUAUUUAAUCGAGGUAGUAUUAGUUAAGAUCUUGAAACUUAAAGAAUUUGGCGGUAUUUUAGUCUAUUUAGAGGAAUCUGUCCCUUAAUCGAUAAUCCACGUUGUACCUUACCUAAAUUUAUAUAUGUAUACCGCCGUUAUUAAUUGUGAAUAUCUUUUUAGAGUUUAAUAAUUUUCUAGUUUUUAUUUUAAAAUUUAUUUCAGGUCAAGGUGCAGUUUAUAUUUUGGUGGAGAUGGAUUACAUUUAUAUUAAUUAUUGGAUUAUUUUAUGUAAUUUUGGAAAUAUGAAAUUGGAUUUAAUUGUAAUUUUUUGUAGAUUGUAAUUAUGAUUUUAGCUCUAUAAUAUGUACACAUCGCCCGUCGCUCUCGUUAAUAUUAGUUGAGGUAAGUCGUAACAUAGUGGUUGUACCGGAAGGUGUGGCUGGAAUGAU